AGAUUGAACGCUGGCGGCAGGCCUAACACAUGCAAGUCGAGCGGCAGCACGGGUACUUGUACCUGGUGGCGAGCGGCGGACGGGUGAGUAAUGCCUAGGAAUCUGCCUGGUAGUGGGGGAUAACGCUCGGAAACGGACGCUAAUACCGCAUACGUCCUACGGGAGAAAGCAGGGGACCUUCGGGCCUUGCGCUAUCAGAUGAGCCUAGGUCGGAUUAGCUAGUUGGUGAGGUAAUGGCUCACCAAGGCGACGAUCCGUAACUGGUCUGAGAGGAUGAUCAGUCACACUGGAACUGAGACACGGUCCAGACUCCUACGGGAGGCAGCAGUGGGGAAUAUUGGACAAUGGGCGAAAGCCUGAUCCAGCCAUGCCGCGUGUGUGAAGAAGGUCUUCGGAUUGUAAAGCAACUUUAAGUUGGGAGGAAGGCAUUUAACCUAAUACGUAAGUGUUUUGACGUUACCGACAGAAUAAGCACCGGCUAACUCUGUGCCAGCACG
rnacentral:rRNA from 1 species